rnacentral:rRNA from 1 species
AUAUCAAUAAGCGGAGGAAAAGAAACUAACAAGGAUUCCCCUAGUAACUGCGAGUGAAGCGGGAAAAGCUCAAAUUUAAAAUCUGGUGGUCUCUGGCCAUCCGAGUUGUAAUCUAGAGAAGUGCUGCCCGCGCUGGACCGUGUACAAGUCUCCUGGGAUGGAGCGUCAUAGAGGGUGAGAAUCCCGUCUCUGACACGGACUACCAGGGCUUUGUGGUACGCUCUCAAAGAGUCGAGUUGUUUGGGAAUGCAGCUCAAAAUGGGUGGUAAAUUCCAUCUAAAGCUAAAUAUUGGCGAGAGACCGAUAGCGAACAAGUACCGUGAGGGAAAGAUGAAAAGAACUUUGGAAAGAGAGUUAAACAGUACGUGAAAUUGCUGAAAGGGAAACGCUUGAAGUCAGUCGCGUUGGUCGGGGAUCAGCCUCACUCUUUUGUGUGGUGUAUUUCCUGGUUAACGGGUCAGCAUCAAUUUUGACCGCUGGAAAAAGGCUUGAGGAAUGUGGCAGCUCCGGCUGUGUUAUAGCCUCUUGUCACAUACAGCGGUUGGGAUUGAGGAACUCAGCACGCCGCAAGGCCGGGUUUCGACCACGUUCGUGCUUAGGAUGCUGGCAUAAUGGCUUUAAGCGACCCGUCUUGAAACACGGACCAAGGAGUCUAACAUGCCUGCGAGUGUUUGGGUGGAAAACCCGAGCGCGUAAUGAAAGUGAAAGUUGAGAUCCCUGUCGUGGGGAGCAUCGACGCCCGGACCAGAACUUUUGGGACGGAUCCGCGGUAGAGCAUGUAUGUUGGGACCCGAAAGAUGGUGAACUAUGCCUGAAUAGGGUGAAGCCAGAGGAAACUCUGGUGGAGGCUCGUAGCGAUUCUGACGUGCAAAUCGAUCGUCAAAUUUGGGUAUAGGGGCGAA